UACGUAGGUGGCAAGCGUUGUCCGGAUUUACUGGGCGUAAAGAGCUCGUAGGCGGUGUGUCGCGUCGGCCGUGAAAACCUGCAGCUUAACUGUGGGCUUGCGGUCGAUACGGGCAUCACUGGAGUUCGGCAGGGGAGACUGGAAUUCCUGGUGUAGCGGUGAAAUGCGCAGAUAUCAGGAAGAACACCCGUGGCGAAGGCGGCUCUCUGGAACGCAAACUGAC
rnacentral:rRNA from 1 species